CUUGGGUGCAAGCAGGGAAAAAAAGGACCUCUACUAGAUGAUGACCAUGAAGGACAGAGUUCAGCUGGGGACAGUUGAAUACAGGAAAGCAACUCUGAUGAUCUGCCUCCUCUGUCCCUGAUCUGGUUUUCUUGCCAGGUUGCUGGUUUUCUGUCAUUGGAGGCAGACAGUUAUCUGUCAUUGUAGGUAGACUUCCUCAAGUGCAUGGCAGCCUUAGCUCUGGGAUCAUAAUAUCACCAUUGUGUGGAAACAGAAAAGAGGGUCUUCUUUCUCCUAGAUUUAUAAGGAUAACUCCAGAGAAUUCUGUUUGAUUAGCUCUGGUCCUGAACCCUGUUCUUGAGCAAGGAGGUGGAGACAGAGAGCGUGAAGCAGACUGGAAUGAUGACGCAUGCUCCUUUACUUUCACUUCUCCCUUGGAAAGGACGCAGACAAAAUGCCUGGAGCUCAGGGAGGUGAGGAACUCUUUCUGGUUGCGAGGGAAAACUGCUGGCUGGAAAGUGCUUUAUGGGCUGAAAGUUUCAGGACAUGCUAGAGGUUUGCUCCACAGUGCUAGUUUUACACCCUGUAGUUUUCCUUGGAAACCAUUCAUUCAUUCAUUCAAAACACACCUUACAUACUAUCUCUGUGCUGGUCAUACAGAUAACAGUGCAGUCAAAGAUUUAGGCCUGCCCUCAAGGAGCUUACAGUCAAGAAGUGAAAAGACAUGAAUGAACAGAUAAUAAAGAGGAAGUGAAGAGAUGGCUUUACGGUGCUGCUGGACGCAUGACAGCUACCAGCGUGAUCUCCAUUCCUGCCCUACUGCAAAGGAUGCCAGCCUGCUAGAGUGCUAUCCCCUCCCUUCUCCUCAUCAGCUGUCACCCAUGUCCC
rnacentral:lncRNA from 1 species